rfam:Ceratocystis platani strain CFO contig_00135, whole genome shotgun sequence.
AGCUUGUAGAAAGCACGGGAUCCCGUCCGCUCUCCCCUAGUUAACCUACAAAGCGCUGGAGUAGUACUGCAGUGGGUGACCAUGCGGGAAUCCCUAGUGUUGUAUGUC